GCUCACCAUGGUUGCAGACCCCAAAUUGCUAUUCUUUGCUGAUCCCGAAUAAACCCAUUUUUGCUGGAGAGAUAACUGGCUGUCUGUUUGUUUAAGGUCAACAUUUUGGUGGCCCAUGUGAAGAUGCAGAGAACACCCCUGAUGAUUCUGAGGCUGGAACCAAGCUCAGGACAAAGACCCAAGCUCCCUUUGCCAAGCCAAUAUCCAGGGCAAGAGCAGCCACCUGACCAAACCAGGCUCUGCACAUAGAAGCCUCCAAUACCGCUGCCAGUGUACCCUCUAGCCUAUCCCUGAGCUAUCUGGAGAUGAGAGCCUUGAGCUAUAUAAUAUCAUCAACAAAGUCAACUUGAGAUGAUGGGAGUCCACAAGCUAUGACAUUUGUUACAUCACCAAAGGAACCAGAUCUCGUGCCAAUGCUGAACCUGGAAGAAAAGCUGUUCCUGGAUGAAAAUGCAAGUAUCUUCCCUGACGGCCUCUAUGGGGAUGCUGUGGAUAAAGAGAGGACGCCUUUAUCACAUGGGAGCUUGUGGGCUCUGUCCUGCUUAAACCAUAACUGUCUGCAGAUAAUACUCUUCAACUGAAAGUGGAUCGGCUCCCUUAUCUGCUGGAAAUAUGCUUGCUUAGUAUAAUGAGAAGAGACACCAUUCCCUACAGAGUCAGAUUGGUUCCUCAGGUGAGGCCACGCCUACUUACAUGCACCAUUUUGUUACAUUACAUCUACUUAUAUAUAAUGUGGGAGAGUUUGGGAUACCUCGUUGUUAUAAGAAAGUUACAACUUGGUAGGUAAAGUGAUGAUUGUUAAAACCAUAUCUGGUCUUUGAAAUUUUCCAAGUCUCAAUCAUGAAACAAUCACCUUAAUUAACACUAAAUAAAAAUCUGAUACAUGGUGAUUAUAGUUCGAAAGGAGAGUAAAUUAAGCUAUACUAAGAAAGAGCCCUUAGUAUAUAAAAUCAGCAAAUUAAACCUAUUACCUCACAAAAAAAUAAAUAAAUGAAACAAGGAGAUUAAUGUAGAAAAGCGCUAAAAUAUCAGAAUUAAAAACCAGAUCAGAAAUUUUGAUCAUCAAGUUAAAAUUGUGGAAUGUCUAAAUACUUAUUUUCAUGGUAUUUUUCUAUCAAAUGAUUGACUCAACUUUAGAAAUAAAAUUUUUUCCUAUACUAAUUUUUUAUUUUUCUAAUUACAUAAAUAUCAAUAUAUUUAAAAAAGGACAACAGCAUGGCAUACUGUAUUAGAAACAUGAGUCAAUAAUAAUGACAGGAAGAGAUUAUAAAACAUUAUAAAGUGGAUGUUUGUAAAUGAACAUCAAAUUUUAUUUGUGGCUAUUUGUAUUUAUUUCUAAAAGGGCAAACAAUGAAAUCAACCAGUUCCUUGGCUACUGAGAAUAUCCUUUCCUUGUCCUAAUAGAACAAAACAGACUUGGUCUUCAGAGACUCGGACAGAGCAAACGUCGAUGUAUUUUAGUACGGCACUUUAACCUAGGUGUAGAAGUUUUGUCCCAAAGGAUCCUUAUGAUGAUACCAUUAAGAACAAGAAAAACCAAUGGCCUUUUCCCAUAUAAAUCCAGAGUUCCAAAACAAAGGGGCUUCAGGCACCUUUGACCUCUGAAGGAGGUCAGUGACACUGAACCAGCAGACUAAAGGCUUAGAUUUAUUUUGCCAUCCAAACUUCUUCCCUGUAAUCCCUCACAGGUAGUUUUCCAUUGGCUUUGAAGCAUAGCCUAUCUUACUGAGUGAUUUCUCUCAACAGUUCAUUCAUUCUUUCAUUGGAGCAUUUAUUGGAUGCCUACUGUGUGGUUAGCUGUGGUGUUACGAGAUUGAUAUCCACAUUCUCUAUGUUCAUAGAUUCCACUUAAGUUAAUAUACAAAGAUGUGCACCUGCAAAUACAAUGCCAUGAGAUAAAUGCUUUGGUGGAGGUGUGCACAGAAGGUGCAGGAGCCCAGAGAGAAGCACUUAACACAGCUUUGGAGGGGAGGUCUGCAAAAGCUGAGCAAACCUUCGUGACCUGAGGCAUUCUCCCUCCGGCGUCACUGGCAGUGUAAUCAGGAUGGCUGCAGCUCCUUCCCGAGGGGCUGGCUUAUAUUCCACCCAGCAGGUGCAAGGGCUCCACCAGCAUCAGAAAUUCAUAAAGGCAAAGGACAUCUAAGAGACCACAUUAGGACAGCAAUGGUAAAACAUCUGGCAAAGAAAUUUUUAGCCCAAAUACUUUCAAAAAGUAUUUCCAAGGCAUAUAAGUCAUAUAUAAUAGGACCAUUCGUAGAUGAAUUCAAAAUUAAGGACUAUAUAUAAGGGAAGAGAAAACUUCAAGAAAAUUGAGUUUAGUUCAGGUACUUGUUGCAACUGAGCUAUAAAUUAGCUCUGCUCUUCCUGGUAGGAAAAGUCAAAAAGGAAACAGUGAGUUGAAACUCUCAUUCUUUAAAUAAGGCUACUUGAUUUAUCAGAAAAAAAGAUUGUUGUCCAGGAAUAGAUUCUAAGGAAAAGCUUAGCAUAGUGCCAGGCCUACGCAGACACUUAAACUGUUGAACGAAGGAAUGAAUGAAAAUAUGAAUGUAAGUGUUACCAAAAAAUGGUUUUCUGUGGCCAGUUCCUAUAUUAAUCUUGGAUGGAAGCUAAGUAAAUAAUGGCUUGUUUAGGCAUUUGUACAGAGAGCCACAGUAGCAUGAUAUAGGUUUAUAACUUUCAAGGUAGAGACAAGACAUUCUUCUGCCAAUGAAAAGAUACCACUUUAGAGCUGGCCCUGUGGCCUAGUGGUUAAGUUCGGCAUGCUCUGCUUUGGCAGCCCGGGUUUGGAUCCCAGGCAUGGACCUACACCACUCGUUGGCGGUCAUGCUGUGGCAGUGACCCACAUACAAAAUAGAGGAAGAUUGGCACAGACGUUAGCUCAGGGACAAUCUUCCUCAAACAAAAAGAGGAAGAUUGGCAACAGAUAUUAGCUCAGGGUGACUCUUCCUCAGCAAACAAAAGAUACCACUUUGAGGCAGUGGGGAAAGUUUAGUAGGAGGGUGUUACCUGUGUGCAGGUAUGUGUGGAUGUAUAAAGGCAGGAGCAGGAAGGCUCUGGCCUGCCCAGUGCGUCCGUAACACAUUCACUCUGAAGGCUACAGGAGCCUAUGCCAAGGCUCAUCCUGCACGAUGUAAAGGGAUAGAGUGACAGCCCAGCUGUGGUCCACUGUGGCUCUCACUUUAUCCCAGUAAGUAAGGUCAUUAUAUAUGCAUAGCUAUAAUUUCAUGAAAAUAUAUUAUAUUUCAAAUUUUAACACCAAGAGGGAUUCUGUUUACUUUUUUAUCACCAUGUUUAUCUCUGGGGGACAAGAUGCAACUCUCACAGUAUACUUUCACAGAUACAUUUUUUUAAAAUGAGAAUUGCCUUAAAGGAGAAACUUAAUUAAAAAUGCAUUUCAAUGUAGAAGAAAGUGAUUCAUACCAUUUAUUAAAAUAGAGUAAUUCACAGUUUACAUUUCAGUGAACCUGAAAAUACCCAAUUUUUAAAUCAAAAGGAAAUGCAUUCUAGCUCCUAAGAGUUCAAUUUAAUAGUUUUUAAUAGUUUUAAGCUACUUUUUAAAAUCUCAAAAACACAGGAUCAAAUUUUACACUCAAUAGUGCUG